ensembl:snRNA U6 U6 spliceosomal RNA
AUGCUCGCUUCAGCGGCAUAUAUGUUAAAAUUGGAACGAUACAAAGAUUAGCAUAGCCCCUGCGCAAGGGUGACACACAAAUUCAUGAAGAGUUCCAUGUUUUA